AGCGAACGCUGGCGGCAGGCUUAACACAUGCAAGUCGAACGCCCCGCAAAGGGAGUGGCAGACGGGUGAGUAACACGUGGGAACGUACCCUUUGGUUCGGAAUAACUUGGGGAAACUCAAGCUAAUACCGGAUAAGCCCUUAUGGGGAAAGGUUUACUGCCGAAGGAUCGGCCCGCGUCUGAUUAGCUAGUUGGUGAGGUAAUGGCUCACCAAGGCGACGAUCAGUAGCUGGUCUGAGAGGAUGAUCAGCCACACUGGGACUGAGACACGGCCCAGACUCCUACGGGAGGCAGCAGUGGGGAAUAUUGGACAAUGGGGGCAACCCUGAUCCAGCCAUGCCGCGUGAGUGAUGAAGGCCUUAGGGUUGUAAGGCUCUUUUACCCGGGACGAUAAUGACUGUACCGGGAGAAUAAGCCCCGGCUAACUUCGUGCCAGCCGCCGCGGUAA
rnacentral:rRNA from 1 species